rnacentral:lncRNA from 1 species
CAUGCAGACAGCUCUGUGCUGUAUGGGAAUAUAACUGCGCGGCUGCGCGCCUCUCGCGCGCUCAAGUUCAGGACAGCGCGUGCACAGCAGAGCUGCGUCUGAGCGAUCGUUCCGCCGAAAAUGUCUUCUGACAGCAGUAACAACGCUUUUUUCAGGGGCUUUUUUUUUCAUCGGACAGGAACUUUCGUUUUAUCAGGUACACAGCACUGGUGGUGGCUGGAGUAAUCAUAGCAACCUGGGGACGUAACGGCGCCUGAAGAAGACAGGCCCAACUCCGGCUCUCCAGUGCGAUACUGAGAGAAUCUUUUCUAUCAAAUGAAAAAUGCAGGGCAUCCGAGAUGCAGGAGGGCAAAAGUUCAAGAGAUGAAAGGCUUCCGGAUGAAACAGUCAGCUAGCUAUAAAAGGUAUUCUUGAAAUGGACAGCAGGGAAAUUUGACACCAGAAAAUCAUGAGAUGAAGAGGCCAAAUGCUGCCAUUACAUUCAAUUCCCAGGAGGAGCUAAAUAAAAGCCUGUAAAGGUUUCUCUGACAUUUUCAGCCUAAGGGAGAUCAUUUGUUGUGGCUUCAGCACAGGUACAA